UACGAAGGGGGCUAGCGUUGCUCGGAAUCACUGGGCGUAAAGCGCACGUAGGCGGACUCUUAAGUCGGUGGUGAAAUCCUGGAGCUCAACUCCAGAACUGCCUUUGAUACUGGGAAUCUCGAGUCCGGGAGAGGUGAGUGGAACUGCGAGUGUAGAGGUGGAAUUCGUAGAUAUUAGGAAGAACACCAGUGGCGAAGGCGGCUCACUGGUCCGGUACUGACGCUGAGGUGCGAAAGCGUGGGGAGCAACAGG
rnacentral:rRNA from 1 species